UUUGGUCCCAUUACCCAUCCUUCCUUCCCAGCACAUUUCAAUUUCCCUAAAACAACCCAGCAGCCGCCCCAGGCCCAUUUUUAUUUCCUCUUCUACCAGCCCAUUUUUCCAAUUUCCCCUUCUUCCUCUUCGCCAAAGAUCUCCAGCAGUAGCGCUGGACGAUCCUCACCCUCCCUCCUCUUCACGCGUGUUCGAUCCCUUUCCCUACGUAUUUCCCUCAUUCUUUAGGCGCAUGAGCAGUCCCUCCUCAACGGCGAAGAGGAACAAGGGAAAAUACGAUUCUUCCCUCAUUUUUUUUGAUCUUUUUCCUUCUUCGUUUCUUUUUCUGCCGACACCCCUAUAAAAAGGAUGCUCUCCCUUCAGUUGAAAUAGAUAGAAAAAAGGGGAAAGAAAGAAAAUAUAGAUAAAAAGGGAGUAAAGAGAAAGGUGUUACGGAGGAAUAUCGCUACAAGUUUCCAACCAUAUCGCUACACAUAAGUAUUUUGAGAUAGUUUCUUGAAACCAUAGAGACGUUCGUCACUGUCCUAUCUCUACCUACAAGGAGUUCUAUAUCGCCUUUCGAGUUUCACUGUUGUGGUGGAAGACCUCACCGUUAUUUGCUGUUCCGGUUGGCUGCUCUAAAACAGUUGUCGUAUGGGGGUAGAAGCAUUUACAUGUUCGAGUUGUGGCUAUCUUGGAGGAGGAAUUUACUCUUCGUCCUACAGCUAAGCCUUCUCUUUAUCGUGAUUUUGGUUAUCGAGUGGUUUUCGCGUAUAUGCCCUUUAUAUGUGUUCAGUGGCUUAAACGAUGGAAAGGGAUCAAUGCCCCUCUGUGCUUGAUCUGCAGUCUGUUUGCUGCUCACUGUCACAUGGUUUUCUUUGGGUUUGAAAUGGUUUAUAUAGCCUUAAAUUAUCACUAAUAAUCUAGAUGGAUGAUGGCUUUGCUUUAUUCUUUUGAACAUUUGUUUAGUGCUCCAUAGUCCCCUGUUUUGCUUUCAUAUGGGAUAUAUAUUGAGAUUUCGUAUCCCUUUUCUAGCUCAUAUUUUCUAAGUAGCUCACAUCUUCUAUUUUUGUUUUGUUCUAAUCAUUUGAUUAAGGUGCUAAUUCUCCUUUUGUUUGUUUUAUUGCAUGGGAAAUUCUCCUCGAGUCCUCAUGGACUUUAAUCCAUCUUGUUGCACUUCCUCAUUGAGCCAUAAAGGCUCAAAACAUCUUCUUCGAGUCGUAGACCCCCCUCAUAACUGGCGUACAGGUUGUGAAACCAGCAGAUGCAGUGCUGAAAAUUAAAUUUGCAGAUGUUGAGAAGCUGUCUACCAGCUAUAUACAUAUUUUAUACACCGAUAUACAGGUUGAAAUGUGCACAGGAAGCCAAAUUUGAAAUCUGGAUUGAUAGCAGUGAAAAUAUGCUGCUGAAAAAGAACUUUCAACUUUCGAAAGUUGAAAAACAGGCUGAUAUAUCAUCCGUAUACACUAAUAUACAUACACGCUAUGCCAAAUAGGUGUAAAAAAUGCAAAUUGCAGGUUUAAAGUACAAGGACGGCAAUUUCAAGUAAAAUAAAGGAAUAGUGAAUGAAUAUGUGCAUAGGAUAUAGCCCGUAUACAUUGGUAUACAUCAUUUGGGCAGCGAUAUACAAAUGUUAAAAUAGUAUAAAAAUUGUACAGGUAUAAAUACGCCGAAAUAAUAUGGAAAAUACAGGUGGAAUCGCGAGAAUUCGUAUUCAAACAGAUUACAGGGCUCAAAAGGUCCAAAACGGAAUUGGAUAUACACCAUACACAACAGUAUACAUCAUUUGUAUAUCCUAUUUCUUUUUUCAGGAAAAUGGGCCAGGGCCCUUUCAGCAAAAAUUUUUAGUGUAAAUUAGGUAAAGGGAAAAUAACUUGUGUGUCUAUUUUUU